rnacentral:rRNA from 1 species
GGGGAAUUUUGCGCAAUGGGGGAAACCCUGACGCAGCAACGCCGCGUGCGGGAUGAAGGCCCUCGGGUUGUAAACCGCUUUCAGCAGGGAGGAAUCAAGACAGUACCUGCAGAAGAAGCCCCGGCUAAAUACGUGCCAGCAGCCGCGGUAAUACGUAUGGGGCGAGCGUUAUCCGGAUUCAUUGGGCGUAAAGCGCGCGUAGGCGGCUGUGCAAGCGGGUGUCUUAAAUCCGGGGGCUCAACCUCCGGCUGGACCCCGAACUGCACGGCUCGAGUUCGGUAGGGGGGGUCGGAAUUCCCAGUGUAGCGGUGAAAUGCGCAGAUAUUGGGAAGAACACCGAUGGCGAAGGCAGACCACUGGGCCGCAGCUGACGCUGAGGUGCGAAAGCCGGGGGAGCGAACA